AACGCACGAGACCUGCGGACCUGCGGAAGGAUCAUUACAGAGUUUUCUAAACUCCCAAACCCAUGUGAACUUACCAUUGUUGCCUCGGCGGAGCCUACCCUGUAGCUACCCUAUAAGGUGGUUACCCUGUAGCGCCCCGCCGGUGGAUUUUCAAACUCUUGUUAUUUAUAGUAAUCUGAGAGUCUUAUUUUAAAUAAGUCAAAACUUUCAACAACGGAUCUCUAGAUCGGAAGAGCACAC
rnacentral:misc_RNA from 1 species